rfam:Nicotiana attenuata strain TT scaffold03139, whole genome shotgun sequence.
ACGACCUUACUUGAACAGGAUCUGUUCUAUAGGCUCGUACCACUGUAUCCUUGAGUUCUAAGGAGACAGAAAACCAAGUCUGGUUGAUGAACUAUGGCUAUGAGUCCAGAGCGUGAUUAACAGCUUCCUAUGGUUCCUAGUGACCAUGGAGCCGUAGAGGAUCGUUCUCAGCUCUGUUCGCAGGCCUGGGAUGGCCUCAUAGCUGUCUGACAGACU